rnacentral:tRNA from 1 species
GCCGAUGUGGUGGAAUUGGUAGACACGCCGGAUUCAAAAUCCGGUUCCUUUGCGGGAGUGACGGUUCGACCCCGUCCAUCGGUA